GUAUUGAUUGCUAACUUCUAAUUUUUUGUUAAACCAAAAUUGGCACUGGGCUGUUUGGCACUCUGGUCCCAGGGAAUAUGAUCUAUGAGAAAGCUUUUCACAAAAAGGACUGAUCACCUAAGAAAAACAGUUUCAUGCCAGAAAGUUUGCACAGGUUUUUCUCUACAUGGGCUGUUUGUCGUGAUUUGAAGUCCCACCCUGGCACCACAAGGACUUUGGUCCCUAGGAAUUUCAAGGGUAAAUGAUCAGAUGGAGCUUGCAUUGGUGAAAGAAGGAAAAGCAAGAAAAUUUAAACCUGUCCCUCAGGAAUCACACCCAAAAGAAGUCAUCC
rnacentral:lncRNA from 1 species